CGCAGAACCUUCCAGCGUUUGACAUUCCGAUCGCGGUUUGAGAGAUCAUUUCCUCAGUUUGGCUGGAUCGGUGACAGGGUGCCUGCAUGGCUGUCGUCAGCUCGUGUCGUGAGAUGUUGGGUUAAGUCCCCGCAACGAGCCGCAACCCCUCGUCCUUAGUUGCCAUCAUUAAGUUGGGCACUCUAAGGAAACCGCCGGUGAUAAGCCGGAGGAAGGUGGGGAUGACGUCAAGUCCUCAUGGCCCCUUACACGCUGGGCUACACACGUGCUACAAUGGCGGUGACAGUGGGCAGCGACCUCGCGAGGGGUAGCUAAUCUCCAAAAGCCGUCUCAGUUCGGAUUUGUUCUCUGCAACUCGAGAGCAUGAAGGCGGAAUCGCUAGUAAUCGCGGAUCAGAGCCGCGGUAAUACGUUCCCGGGUCUGUACACACC
rnacentral:rRNA from 1 species